AGGCUGCUGGUGGGCCCCACCAUCGUUCGGGCCCGCCUGUCGGUGACUGUGGCUGGGAUUGGUUUCGGUCAAGCGUGGUUGGGCAGCCUGCGGGUGAGACAAAAAGGCCAUCUUCCCCAAUCCCCUCCCGACAUUCUCCCCCAAUCCCAAACCCUAUCCCUAUCCCAAUCCCCACAGCCUCUACCUCCCUAGCUCCCGCUCCUGGCCGCCGCCGCCUCCUCCCCAACUCCCGCUCCCCACCGCUGGUCUCCUCUCAGGCGAGCCGCCGUCAGCCGCCACCCAAUCCCAGCAUGCGAGCUCCUCCCCAAUCCCCUUCCUACCCGUACCGCCGCCACGGUCGCUCGCCUCGUACUACCACCAGCAGCGAAAGGAGAAGGUGCAGGAGAACUGUGAGGAGGACGAGGAGGGAGGGGCGGAGCAGCUGGAGGUCCAAUGGCGGCGGCGGUCGGACGACAGCCGGGCCUCUCAUGGCUGGACGAGGUAGCGAUGUGCGGAGCGAAGCAGCGGGAGCUCGGACGGUGGCAGCGGUCGGACGGUGGCGGCGGUCGGACGGCAGUGGGUCCUGUCAUGGAUGGACGAGCUCUCUGCCAAGCCAUGGACUUGCUGCUGCCAACCCUCACCGGCCUCCUCCCUCCUCUCUCUGCACCCUCUUGAGCUUUCCCUUUUUAUUUUGAUGUAUGUAUACUCCUGGUCAUGUUGAAGAUCGAGGGUUUGUAUUGCUUCUAGGCCAAGAAACUGAGAGGGGCUUUCUUCUUCGAGUCGCCGGAACCAAACGACAACGUGCUGCAGACUUUCUGGUCUGCUAUGUGUUCUUCACUAAAUCCUCCAAAUCCUACAGGUAGCGGCUGCUCUAACCAGCUGGUCUACUGCAGGUUGGAGUAGGUUAUAUCAUGUAGUCAUGGUAGGUGCUCUUUUUUAUUUUGCCCCAGAAAGAAGAGGGCCAGCGACACCUUUAAGGGCAGCAGCCAACAUUGAGAACGACAGGGUGCCAGUGGGGGUUAAUCUCGGGAGAAGUUGCUGCGAGGUACAUCACAUGCUCGACAUGGUGUAGGGUGAGUGGACGUCCAAAAACUAAGCGGAAGUUGCUUGCUUAAUGCGUAGUCGCAUUGAGUGUUAGUUAUACAAGAGAAAUCAAAUGAAUAUGUUUAGUUUCUAAACCUUUAUUCAUUUUUAAUAGAAUUGCUUGCCUAGGCUCUGAUAUAUUUCUUUACAUGAAUCGGCACUAUGCUCUUAUGCUUUUAGUUAUACAUAUAUUUUUUAGUUGGUCAGGUUUUCAAGUUUCAACCAUUCUUACUUUGAAAUGAUUCUGUAGUUAGUUAUAAAUAUAGAAAAUUUGAUGCCUGGGAUACAUAUUUUUCAUGGUAUAUUAUGCCAGUUAAGGGAUCUCUUAUUUCUUUAGGUCUGCUACAUAAUUAUCUGGAGAUUUACUUUCUUCCGGUGCCUGCUUUUGAUCACAGGAAACUAAAAAAAGACAAAAUAUACUUCACAUGCAGCAUCUUAUCCUAUGUGAAGUUAUCUUGCAGACAUCGUUAAAUAUUUUUCUUCACUUUUCUGUUUAGCUAAAUAACCAAUUAAAUGAUUUAAUAUAUUUUUUCUUUUUUUAAAUUGGGUAAAGAAAGUAUGUUGCACUUUCUUAUAGUCUUUUGGCUGGCACUGCAAUUUUGUUUGUCUUCUAGAGUGACAUAGAACAUGAUAUGCUUCUUUUACUGUACAUGCUAUCUAUAUUUUGUACCUUUAAUACCCUCUCUUUUUAUUGAUACUCAGAUGGUUCAGCUUCAAAAGCACCAAAAAAUUAUGUUAAUACAUGGGUGAGUGGAGAUGCUGCAUGUAAUACUCACUUUCCCAUCUUUAUACAAUGUUGUACCUACAGCAACUGUCAUUUUACUCUCCCUCUUAGAAGGACUUCUCUGUAUUUUGUCAAGCCUUCCGGCCUUAUAUGGUGAUAUUUUUUUCCGGAACCACCUCUUAUGUCUUGCCUACGUUUGAAGUUUUGGAGUUCUUAAAUUCUUGAUGAAGAGGAUUUUGGAGGUACGUGCCACCGGUGCUCAGGGCGCUUAAUUAACUGCAAUAGCAGACCAUGGAUUAUUAAUGCUGCAGCAGCAGAACAUGGAUUAUUAAUGAUGAACCGUCUGUCUUUGGAAGCGGCUAUUCAUUGGAGAGGGUAUUGUUCCUUUAUGGUCAUAAGACAGACUUCUCUUUGGAAGCGGAAAUGGAAGCGGCACAUGAGGCGUGCUCCUGCCCUUGCAAGUGCUCCACGAAGCCGGUUGUGCAGCGAUGGCAAGAGUGAGACUGGUUCGUUCACAGGCCAAGAGGACCCUGUUCGCCGAAUCAUCGCCUGGACAUGGGUUGGGAGCCGCGCUUGAGUUUUUUACGACUUAUUCGUCUUCUAUGUUAGAGAAGGAGGCGGCAUACAUAGGGUAUGGAGGCGGAGGAGGAGCGGACCAUUGCCAUCGUCCUCACAGCAGGUGGAGUGCGGGCUGCAGGGAGGAUCUUCAGAGGCACUCGUUCUGCUACUCUCCACUCUCCGGCGCUGAUAAGGAGGCUCUCGUGCAGCUCCAGGACCAAUGCCCACAACCUUGGAUUCAUAAGUUUUACGGAUUGCAUUGGACUGCAUUCUCUGAUUAAAUUAGGUUAGAUGGUUUUCUAUUCGCUCAUAAGGAGGCUAUUUCUCAAAUCAAUAUAGCAAGAGAGAUAAUCUGCUAUGAUGGUAACUUAACUGUAUGUCAUAAGCAAGCUAUUUUACAAAAUUAGCAUUGCUUUUUUUAGAUUCUUGGAUUCUAUGAAUGAGAUUGUGAACUUGGUGUUCCAUUAUCAAUGACAUGUCUGAGCCUGAGAGUAGGCUUUGCCAUGCAUCCUUAUUAUGGGAAAUCAGGUUCUAAUAAAAAAAAUGGUAUCUUUGUAUUUUUCUUCACAAUUUUUCAUGUUGGUGAUAAUCGGCUCUCAUGCCUUUUCUUCUCCUGUCUGUUCACAGGAAGGCUAAUUGAUGUUACUUUUUUUUCUUCAUACAAGCUCCUUCCGUUGGUAUUGUUAAAUGUUACAUAUCACUAAAUAUUGCUUUGUUGAUAUGUGUCUUAUGUCCGGGCCAGAAAUUGUGUAUACAUGCUUAUGCUUACUUGGUGUGGUUUAUUGUGCAGUAUUGAGUCCAGAAAAUCCAUGCUGUGCACCUAUCUCAUGAUGUUGGCAGCCUGUUAGGCAGGUACGAAUGUUGGUUAUGUGGCUCGACUCGCACGCAACCUAUGCACGUACGCAACUAUAGCCUAUGCAGGUGAGUCAUGCAAAGAUAAUUCAAUUUUGUGAUUCUGGUCAUAUGCCUCAUGCAUGGUUACUGAUGCCCUUCCUCUCUUUCUCCUCGAAGCAUAUCAAUUUCUAAUAUUUUGAAUGCUUUGUUUUAAGACCUGAACAUGAGGUUAUUGCACUGCAAUUCAAACGGAUUUUGUUCAGAGUUUUACAAUCGAAAGUUUGGAUUAGCCUUCUUCCACAGUUUUUUACAUUGAGAUUAUAAUCGUAGGAGAGGGUGUCGGGAUGCGCUUUUCGCCAGAGCAUCGGCCUGAAAAUUAGGCCUUUAUCUCCCAUCUACUCUUAGAUAGAGAUAGAGAAAGACCAUUCGCAGAGUUGCACUUACCUUUUUAUGAUGCCCAAAUUUAUGCUUAGAAAGAGAUACACAGGGCUGAUAUUGUUUCGACAACUUAUGAUGUCCUCAAGGAAGAUCUGGCACGUGAUUCUGAUAGACAUGAUGGAGAUCGCCGUUUUUGGAGAUUUCAGAAGAUGUAACAUUUAAUUUUCUCACAAAGUUUGGCCAUACAUUAUAUCAACUGAAUAUGUUACUAUAAAAGCUGACUAUAUAUGGCAUUCGUUCAGUAAAUAUGUGUCCUUAAUUGAAGGAGUGUUUUCGAUUUUAUUGUAGAGGUUCUGUCGCCCCCCUCCCCCACAGAUGGCGGGCAAGGUUGUUACUCUAUUUGAGCCGAAGGAUGUUUACACAUUCAUAAUUGCUUUUUAUGUCCUAUGGUUGCUCGAAAGAGGAGGGAUGCUCAUACUUUUAUCUUUAAGAGUGCUCUUUAUUCUGUUAUGGUGAGUUUUGAUUACGGGGUUUAGAAUUGGCUAUCCCAAAUAGCCAAUUGGUGUGACCUCUUAUAGCAAAUGGACCAUCACCACCAAAUGGUUUGUUUGCGGGAGUUAAAUAUUUGUUGUAGUUUUAAUCGAUCUACAGUUUCCAUUCUUAUUUUCU